GAUGAACGCUAGCGGGAGGCCUAACACAUGCAAGCCGAGCGGUAUUGUUUCUUCGGAAAUGAGAGAGCGGCGUACGGGUGCGUAACACAUGUGCAACCUGCCUUUAUCUGGGGGAUAGCCUUUCGAAAGGAAGAUUAAUACUCCAUAAUAUACUGAACGGCAUCGUUUAAUAUCGAAAGCUCCGGCGGAUAGAGAUGGGCACGGGCAAGAUUAGCUAGUUGGUGAGGUAACGGCUCACCAAGGCGAUGAUCUUUAGGGGGCCUGAGAGGGUGAUACCCCAAACUGGUACUGGGACACGGACCAGACUACUACGGGAGGCAGCAGUGAGGAAUAUUGGUCAAUGGGUGCAAGCCUGAACCUGCCAUCCCGCGUGAAGGACGACUGCCCUGUGUGUUGUAAACUUCUUUUGUAUAGGGAUAAACCUACCCUCGUGAGGGUAGCUGAAGGUACUAUACGAAUAAGCACCGGCUAACUCCGUGCCAGCCGCCGCCGUAA
rnacentral:rRNA from 1 species